GUUAGGAAUAUUGGACAAUGGGCGCAAGCCUGAUCCAGCCAUGCCGCGUGAACGAUGAAGGCCUUCGGGUUGUAAAGUUCUUUAGCCGAUGAUUAUAAUGACUGUAGUCGGAAAAUAAGCCCCGGCUAACUUCGUGCCAGCAGCCGCGGUAAUACGAAGGGGGCGAGCGUUAUUCGGAAUCACUGGGCGUAAAGCGUGCGUAGGCGGUCUCGUAAGUUAGGAGUGAAAGCCCAGGGCUCAACCUUGGAAUUGCUCUUAAUACUGCAAGGCUAGAAUCUCGGAGAGGAUAGCGGAAUUUCCAGUGUAGCAGUGAAAUGCGUAGAUAUUGGAAGGAACACCAGUGGCGUAAGCGGCUAUCUGGACGAGUAUUGACGCUGAGGCACGAAAGCGUGGGGAUCAAACAGGAUUAGAUACCCGAGUAGUCC
rnacentral:rRNA from 1 species